CAAGCAGCGGAGCGUGUGGUUAAUUCGAUGCUACACGAAGAACUUACCAGGUUUGACAUACAAGUAGUAGGGAAAGGAAACUGGACCGACCCUUCGGGGAGCCUAUACAGGUGUUGCAUGGCUGUCGUCAGCUCGUGUCGUGAGAUGUUCGGUUAAGUCCGCUAACGAGCGCAACCCUCGUCGUAUGUUAUAUGUGUCAUACGAGACUGCCGGUAAAAAGCCGGAGGAAGGUGAGGAUGAUGUCAAGUCAGCAUGACCUUUAUAUCCAGGGCUACACACACGCUACAAUGGUCUGUACAAUGGGUAGCCAAGCCGCGAGGCGGAGCCAAUCCUGAAAGCAGGCCUCAGUUCAGAUUGCAGUCUGCAACUCGACUGCAUGAAGCCGGAGUUGCUAGUAACCGCAGGUCAGCAAUACUGCGGUGAAUACGUUCCCGGGUCUU
rnacentral:rRNA from 1 species